AGUGGACGCUGGCGGUAGGCCUAACACAUGCAAGUCGAACGGCAGCACAGUAAGAGCUUGCUCUUACGGGUGGCGAGUGGCGGACGGGUGAGGAAUACAUCGGAAUCUACUUUUUCGUGGGGGAUAACGUAGGGAAACUUACGCUAAUACCGCAUACGACCUACGGGUGAAAGCAGGGGAUCUUCGGACCUUGCGCGAUUGAAUGAGCCGAUGCCGGAUUAGCUAGUUGGCGGGGUAAAGGCCCACCAAGGCGACGAUCCGUAGCUGGUCUGAGAGGAUGAUCAGCCACACUGGAACUGAGACACGGUCCAGACUCCUACGGGAGGCAGCAGUGGGGAAUAUUGGACAAAGGGCGCAAGCCUGAUCCAGCCAUACCGCGUGGGUGAAGAAGGCCUUCGGGUUGUAAAGCCCUUUUGUUGGGAAAGAAAAGCAGCAGGUUAAUACCCCGCUGUUCUGACGGUACCCAAAGAAUAAGCACCGGCUAACUUCGUG
rnacentral:rRNA from 1 species